GUAAUACUCCAUCCGUCCGAAAAUACUUGUCAUAAAAAAAAUAAAAAGGAAUAUAUCUAAACGUAUUUUAGUUUUAGAUGCAUCCUUUUUCAUCCAUUUCGAUGAUAAGUAUUUUUGGACGGAGGGAGUAGGAG
rfam:Triticum aestivum genome assembly, contig: Triticum_aestivum_CS42_TGACv1_scaffold_210908_3AS